rnacentral:rRNA from 1 species
UACGUAGGGGGCUAGCGUUGUCCGGAUUUAUUGGGCGUAAAGAGCGUGUAGGCGGCCAGGUAGGUCUGCUGUGAAAACUCGAGGCUCAACCUCGAGACGUCGGCGGAAACCAUCUGGCUAGAGUCCGGAAGAGGAGAGUGGAAUUCCUGGUGUAGCGGUGAAAUGCGCAGAUAUCAGGAAGAACACCCGUGGCUAAGGCGGCUCUCUAGUACGGUACUGACGCUGAGACGCGAAAGCGUGGGGAGCGAACAGG